GAUGAACGCUGGCGGCGUGCCUAAUACAUGCAAGUCGAGCGAACAGACGAGGAGCUUGCUCCUCUGACGUUAGCGGCGGACGGGUGAGUAACACGUGGAUAACCUACCUAUAAGACUGGGAUCACUUCGGGAAACCGGAGCUAAUACCGGAUAAUAUAUUGAACCGCAUGGUUCAAUAGUGAACGACGGUUUUGCUGUCACUUAUAGAUGGAUCCGCGCCGCAUUAGCUAGUUGGUAAGGUAACGGCUUACCAAGGCAACGAUGCGUAGCCGACCUGAGAGGGUGAUCAGCCACACUGGAACUGAGACACGGUCCAGACUCCUACGGGAGGCAGCAGUAGGGAAUCUUCCGCAAUGGGCGAAAGCCUGACGGAGCAACGCCGCGUGAGUGAUGAAGGUCUUCGGAUCGUAAAACUCUGUUAUUAGGGAAGAACAAAUGUGUAAGUAACUAUGCACGUCUUGACGGUACCUAAUCAGAAAGCCACGGCUAACUACGUG
rnacentral:rRNA from 1 species